rnacentral:rRNA from 1 species
CCAGACUCCUACGGGAGGCAGCAGUGGGGAAUAUUGCACAAUGGGGGAAACCCUGAUGCAGCAACGCCGCGUGAGUGAGGAAGUAUUUCGGUAUGUAAAGCUCUAUCAGCAGGGAAUAGAAAAGAAGGUACCUGAAAAAGAAGCCCCGGCUAACUACGUGCCAGCAGCCGCGGUAAUACGUAGGGGGCAAGCGUUAUCCGGAUUUACUGGGUGUAAAGGGGGCGCAGACGGCAGCGCAAGCCAGGAGUGAAAGCCCGGGGCCCAACCCCGGGACUGCUCUUGGAACUGCGCGGCUGGAGUGCAGGAGGGGCAGGCGGAAUUCCUGGUGUAGCGGUGAAAUGCGUAGAUAUCAGGAGGAACACCGGUGGCGAAGGCGGCCUGCUGGACUGCGACUGACGUUGAGGCCCGAAAGCGUGGGGAGCAAACAGGAUUAGAUACCCGGGUAA